AAUGUAUGAUUUAUGUGACUAGUGCUUGUUUUUCCAGAUCAUCACAGAAUAUAUCUUUGAUUUUUUUAACUUCCAACUCAUCUAUAGAUGCUUCUCUGGUUAGUCCGAGUAAGAAAUGAUAAGUAUAAAUGAUCAUAAAUUGCAUCAAUAUUAAAAAAUAAAGAGCAUGCAAAUAUCUCAUAGAGCAAAUAACACGGAUAAUUUAUAUUGACCAUUUGUUAUAUGGUUGUGGUCUUCAGUGGCGACACGUACAUGCAGGUCAUGUUCCGGAGCACCUGAGAUAACCCCUAGUUUUUGAUGGGGUUCGUGUUGCUUAUUCUUCAGUUUUCUAUGUUGUGUGUGCUAUUGUUGUCUGUUUGUCUUUUUCAUUUUUGGCCAUGGCGUUGUCAGUUUAUUUUCGAUUUAUGAGUUUGACUGUCCCUUUGGUAUCUUUCGUCCCUCUUUCAUAAAUUAAUUUCACUUUACAAUGGAUCAAAUCUACGAAUGGAUCCAGGUAAUGGGUGCAGUAGGAGGUCCACCGGAGUUUUGAGAGAGGAAUUCUUGGCAUGUAACAGAUGGAAAAUUUAGGGUCAGAAUUCAUAAAACAGACAUGGGGCAGUGGCAAAUAUGGCAUGCAUAUUUGAACACACAGAGGGUACCCCUGGCACCGGCUGUUUUCCCCCAAAAAACAUAAAUCUAUUUCUCUUCUAUGUGACUUCAGACUUUAUGUUUUCAAUUUUAGUUUCACUUUCUAUAUUCUGUAUUUAUUCUUAUGUAAGCCCAAGGUGAAAAAUAACUUGAUGCAGGAAUAUAUUAAUAAUAAACAUCUUGGAGUUGGGCUAUUUCUUUCUGUCCGGGUGGGGAUCAACUUCAAGCAGACAACAUGCAUGCGUAUAACGACACUGAAGAUUUUUUUUUUUUUUAAAUAAAGACAGUUGUUGUCAGUCAUGACGUCCUUGAAUAGAUCAGUUAGAAAGCAAGGUUUGAAGUUUAAGUACACUGGAAAACCUCAUUUCUAGUGUUGAAAAUAGAGGGAGCAAAAGUUCCACAUCCAGG
rnacentral:lncRNA from 1 species